rnacentral:tRNA from 1 species
GGUAGGAUGGCUGAGUUUUAAGUAGUGGGUUGUAGCCCCAUAGACAGGGGUUUGAUUCCUCUUCCUAUCA